rnacentral:rRNA from 1 species
CCUACGGGUGGCAGCAGUGAGGAAUAUUGGUCAAUGGACGAGAGUCUGAACCAGCCAAGUAGCGUGAAGGAUGACUGCCCUAUGGGUUGUAAACUUCUUUUAUAUGGGAAUAAAACGCGCUACGCAUAGCGUUUUGUAUGUACCAUAUGAAUAAGGAUCGGCUAACUCCGUGCCAGCAGCCGCGGUAAUACGGAGGAUGCGAGCGUUAUCCGGAUUUAUUGGGUUUAAAGGGAGCGUAGGCGGUUCCUUAAGUCAGUGGUAAAAUUUUGGGGCUCAACCGUACAGUGCCGUUGAAACUGGGGGUCUUGAGUACGGGAGAGGUAGGCGGAAUUCGUGGUGUAGCGGUGAAAUGCUUAGAUAUCACGAAGAACUCCGAUCGCGAAGGCAGCGUACCGGAGUGCAACUGACGCUGAGGCUCGAAAGUGUGGGUAUCAAACAGGAUUAGAUACCCUGGUAGUC